GUCCAUGGCACUGUCCUGUAGCCCCUAAGUCAGCACCCUCUGCCCUGGGCGUUUCUCCUCCAAGGUCCACAUCACCUGGCACACUUUAUCACCAUGAGCCUACCCUGUGUUUCCUGAGGAUCUGCUACCUCCUUGGGUCAUCAUUGCCCCUCCUUGUCAUUCUCCUCUGUUGGCUGUUUCAGAACUCAGAGGCCCAUUAUUACCAUGGGGCUAUUGUUACAUCUUCCUGGCUGGUCUCUCCUCUUUCCCAGCAUCUCCUGCUUCUCCCUCUGCUGGAAUAAUGACUUUGUACUGAAUUCUCACAGGAAGUCUCAGAUGAAGACACUGCUAACUCCACUUUCAGAGAGAAACACUGAGGCUCGGAGCUAAACUAACUCGCCUCAGAGCCCACAUCCUGGACUUGAGCCUCAGGGUGUUGCACGCCAAAGCCUGUCCUCUUCACCCCAGCUUCCUGGGCAUUGGAGCGGAUCCAUAGUGUUAGAUAUGCAGUGGGAAUGGCCCCCAUUCCAAGCCACUUCCUGACCUGAUGGCAGCACCCUGCUAGUCCUCUCAUGGAGCCCUGGAGAAGCCGGGUUCCUUAACCCAGAUUUGAAUCAAUAGCCUCACACCUGGUAUGCACAUCCAGGCCAAGUGUGGCUGAAUGGGGAGCAUCUGUUCUGGAGACGGCCACCCUCAUGGGCUCCUCUGCUUCCUGUCCCUUCGGGCACUGAUUUAUGGCACACAGCAGGGAAGGGCCUGAGCUUGAGCCCUGACCAUCGUUAUCAUCACCAUCCUCAUUCCAGUGCAGUGAAGAACAUUCUGAAGGUAGAGGUGAAGGUCUUCUUUCUGAAUGAAGCUCCUUGCAUGAUUCAGGGAUCUUCCUCUUGAAGGCACCAAUCAUUUUGACUUUAAUGCAUGCACUCUGACUUACCUGUGGUGAUCUCUCCUGGAAAUACAUGGAAAAAUGAAGAAUAGGCUAACUGGGGAGAUUUCUUAAAUACCAGUUUGUAUGGCUGUGUUAACCUGAAUGAUUAAAUAUAGAAUUGUUUUUUAAGUUA